AGAGUUUGAUCAUGGCUCAGAACGAACGCUGGCGGCGCGCCUAACACAUGCAAGUCGAGCGCGAAAGGGGCUUCGGCCCCGAGUAGAGCGGCGAACGGGUGAGUAACACGUGGGUAACCUACCUCCGGGACCGGAAUAACCUUCCGAAAGGAGGGCUAAUGCCGGAUAAGCUCACGGCGACUACGGUCGCAGUGGGAAAAGCUGGCCUCUGCAUGCAAGCUGGCGCCUGGAGAUGGGCCCGCGGCCCAUCAGCUAGUUGGUAGGGUAACGGCCUACCAAGGCGACGACGGGUAGCUGGUCUGAGAGGACGAUCAGCCACACUGGGACUGAGACACGGCCCAGACUCCUACGGGAGGCAGCAGUGGGGAAUCUUGCGCAAUGGGCGAAAGCCUGACGCAGCGACGCCGCGUGGGUGAUGAAGGCCUUCGGGUCGUAAAGCCCUUUCGACCGGGAAGAACGACCCCGCGGUGAACAGCCGUGGGGAGAGAC
rnacentral:rRNA from 1 species